UACAGAGGGUGCGAGCGUUACUCGGAAUUACUGGGCGUAAAGCGCGCGUAGGCGGCUUUGCAAGUCGGGUGUGAAAUCCCCAGGCUUAACCUGGGAACUGCAUUCGAGACUGCAUUGCUAGAGUAUGGGAGAGGGAAGUGGAAUUUCCGGUGUAGCGGUGAAAUGCGCAGAUAUCGGGAGGAACACCUAUGGCGAAGGCAGCUCGCUGGGACGUUACUGACGCUGAGACGCGAAAGCGUGGGGAGCAAACAGG
rnacentral:rRNA from 1 species